AACGCACCUUGCGCUCCUUGGUAUUCCGAGGAGCAUGCCUGUUUGAGUGUCAUUAAAUUAUCAUGCUUUUAUCAGCUUUAUUGUUGGGAAAGGCGUGGAUGUGGGGGAAAAUUUUUUUGCAGGUUUUUUUAUCUAGAUCUGCUCCCCUUAAAUGUAUUAGCUGGUUGCUUGUUCAGACUUGUCUAUUAGUGUGAUAAUUAUCUACGCUGUGGACUGUCUGUGCUUUAAUGUAGCACCUGCUUAUAAACAGUCCUUUGGGACAAUCUAUAUGACAAUUUGACCUCAAAUCAUGUAGGACUACCCGCUGAACUUAA
rnacentral:misc_RNA from 1 species